rnacentral:tRNA from 6 species
GCGGGAUUUGUAUAGUGGUAAUACGCUACCUUCCCAAGGUAGAGCCGCCAGUCCGAUUCUGGUAUCCCGCUCCA